rnacentral:rRNA from 1 species
GGCGAGUGGCGAACGGGUGAGUAAUACAUCGGAACGUGCCCUGUAGUGGGGGAUAACUAGUCGAAAGAUUAGCUAAUACCGCAUACGACCUGAGGGUGAAAGUGGGGGACCGCAAGGCCUCAUGCUAUAGGAGCGGCCGAUGUCUGAUUAGCUAGUUGGUGGGGUAAAGGCCCACCAAGGCGACGAUCAGUAGCUGGUCUGAGAGGACGAUCAGCCACACUGGGACUGAGACACGGCCCAGACUCCUACGGGAGGCAGCAGUGGGGAAUUUUGGACAAUGGGCGAAAGCCUGAUCCAGCAAUGCCGCGUGUGUGAAGAAGGCCUUCGGGUUGUAAAGCACUUUUGUCCGGAAAGAAAUGGCUCUGGUUAAUACCUGGGGUCGAUGACGGUACCGGAAGAAUAAGGACCGGCUAACUACGUGCCAGCAGCCGCGGUAAUACGUAGGGUCCACGCCGUUAAUCGGAAUUACUGGGCGUAAAGCGUGCGCAGGCGGUUGUGCAAGACCGAUGUGAAAUCCCCGAGCUUAACUUGGGAAUUGCAUUGGUGACUGCACGGCUAGAGUGUGUCAGAGGGGGGUAGAAUCCACGUGUAGCAGUGAAAUGCGUAGAGAUGUGGAGGAAUACCGAUGGCGAAGGCAGCCCCCUGGGAUAACACUGACGCUCAUGCACGAAAGCGUGGGGAGCAAACAGGAUUAGGUACCCUGGUAGUCCACGCCCUAAACGAUGUCAACUAGUUGUUGGGGAUUCAUUUCCUUAGUAACGUAGCUAACGCGUGAAGUUGACCGCCUGGGGAGUACGGUCGCAAGAUUAAAACUCAAAGGAAUUGACGGGGACCCGCACAAGCGGUGGAUGAUGUGGAUUAAUUCGAUGCAACGCGAAAAACCUUACCUACCCUUGACAUGCCACUAACGAAGCAGAGAUGCAUUAGGUGCUCGAAAGAGAAAGUGGACACAGGUGCUGCAUGGCUGUCGUCAGCUCGUGUCGUGAGAUGUUGGGUUAAGUCCCGCAACGAGCGCAACCCUUGUCUCUAGUUGCUACGAAAGGGCACUCUAGAGAGACUGCCGGUGACAAACCGGAGGAAGGUGGGGAUGACGUCAAGUCCUCAUGGCCCUUAUGGGUAGGGCUUCACACGUCAUACAAUGGUGCAUACAGAGGGUUGCCAAGCCGCGAGGUGGAGCUAAUCCCAGAAAAUGCAUCGUAGUCCGGAUCGUAGUCUGCAACUCGACUACGUGAAGCUGGAAUCGCUAGUAAUCGCGGAUCAGCAUGCCGCGGUGAUACGUUCCCGGGUCUUGUACACACCGCCCGUCACACCAUGGGAGUGGGCUUUACCAGAAGUAGUUAGCCUAACCGCAAGGAGGGCG